CCUACGGGAGGCAGCAGUGAGGAAUAUUGGUCAAUGGGCGGGAGCCUGAACCAGCCAAGCCGCGUGAAGGAAGAAGGCGCUAGGCGUCGUAAUCUUCUUUUGUCGGGGAACAAAGGGCGCCACGCGUGGCGUUUUGAGUGUACCCGAAGAAAAAGCAUCGGCUAACUCCGUGCCAGCAGCCGCGGUAAUACGGAGGAUGCGAGCGUUAUCCGGAUUUAUUGGGUUUAAAGGGUGCGUAGGCGGUCCGGAAAGUCAGCGGUAAAAGCCCGGGGCUCAACCCCGGCGACCCGUAGAAACGGUCGGACUAGGGACGGCGAGAAGUACGCGGAAUGGGCGGUGUAGGGGUGAAAUGUAUGG
rnacentral:rRNA from 1 species